AAUACGUAAACAGAAGGGGGGAAACAGGAAAAUGGAUCGAGUAGAGUACUAUAUGCCUGAAUUACUUUCUGCCACAAGUGACCCCUUAGGGUAGGGACACUUUUGUUAUUAAUGGGGGAUAACUUGAGAGAAGUGAGGACAAGAGAGAAGACAGACAGAGAAGAAGGCAAUGGCUUGAAUGAAGGCUCACAGGCACGGAUGGAGAAUGGAUCGGUGAGAUUGAACAGAUGAGCUACUCUCAAGGAAACAGUGUGCUCCUGGCAACUUUAGUUUGGCAAGAAGGAAUCACCAGAUUCAGCACUGACUCUCCCAAAAACAUUCUGUAAUGCAAAGACUUAGUUCUGAUUUGAUCAUCCAAAGAAUGCUUCACCUGAGCUGAUUGCUGAUUCAAAUGAUAGUUCUCCACGCAACGGAGUCAUCUCUUGGGUCUUCAGAGAGCUCUCUCUGCACAAAAACAGUAAAAGUCUCCGUAUUCUACACCACCAUAUUUUAUCCUGACAUUUUUUUCCAAAGUUUUCAAAACUCAACUCAUCCAUAAAAUUUUCUGCGAUGAAGACGGAAGCCACCCAGACAUUCUGUUAAUAUCUACAGUGUGAUUGAUAUUUCUCUCCCUCAGUGUGGCAAGAUAGCAUAUGUGUAUAUGUGGGCAAGCGUAUAUAUCUUUAUGUUAAUGUACAUCUGCUCAGCCCGUUUCUACCAUCUACCAUUAAGAUGUUACAUUCCCAGGGUCUGUUCUUGCUUCCUUUCACAGAAAAGGACAUUUAUUUACUCCGUAACCCCCGUGUCUAAUGCUGUGGCCUAAUGUUCAAUAAACAUGCAUUGAAUGAAUGAGUGGGUGCUUAAUGACAACAAUGACAACUCUGACGGAAAAUCUCCCCUCACAGAUAGAGUAAAUAGGAUCAUGUAUAAACAUAACUGCAAAUAGCUUGCUUCCUCAAGUGUAUUGUUUUUAAGCACUCUCAGCUGAAACGCGAUGUGGAGUGACUGAGCCUUAGCAGGUGAUUUUCUCCUCACCUCAGCUUUCCCAGCGGCUACCGUUCCAAACACAGCACAUGUGAAGUGAGAUUGUUUUUUCUACAAAAUAAUGCUGUAUUCUUUUGUAUGGCAUUCCUUUUCAAAGCCAUUGAAUUCAUUUAUCUCUUCUUUAUCUCAGUUAUGCUUCUUGUGCUAUAGGCAAAGGAAGAGAAUUGGACAAGGGAUCCUAACUUUCCAACCUCCCUAUUUAGUUCUAAAAAAAUACUGAGUGAGAGAGGAUGUGUGCUUAGGCCUACUGAGACUAGAUAUGCCAGGGUGGAGUGAUACGUAAGGCGAUGUUUGCCUUCUCUGAGGAACAAAGGAGUGGGUAGUAAGGGGAGUGAUUUGCAAGCAUCAGACUGGGAGGACAAGAGGAACUGCAGCUGCAAUUGGGAUGUAAAGUGAAUAAAAGCACACAAAAAGGCUGAUAUUCUGAGUCAUAUGAGAUACCUCCCUUGCUGCAACUUAUAUCACCAUUUUGAAUUAUUAUUGUUAUAUUACUCUAAUACAAGCUGGGCAUAAUGAUAUACACCUUUUAUUCUUGCUUUGGGUGUAGAAGCUGGAAGAUUAGCAGCUCAAGAUUAUCUCAGCUGUCUAAUAAGACUAGCCUAAGCUAUAUUAGUUGUAAAAGGCAAAAUAAAGAAAAACAGUAUAAAACUACAUAAGCAAAAAGCAAUAAACUCUUCCCAUUAAUAUGAAAUGUAAACCCUUACUGUAAACACCCUCCAUAUAAGCCAAAGCAGCCAAAACUUCAGAGAAUUUGAAUUGCUUUGCACAUAUUUUGAUCUGAUUUGACUCAAUUUGAAUGACUGCAUCAACUACUAUCUUUCAAGGUCUUUAACCUUGAAAUUCGGGUGAAAAGGAAACAAUUGUUCAAUAGUGGAAUUCAGUUAAAGAAGUCAAAUUUCAGUCAUAUGCAUAGGAAGGACUUCACUGUUGCUACAGUCUGCCAUUGUUUCCAUACAAUCGCAAUAACAAGUGAUUAGAGUAAAUGGAUUUUGUGAACAGAAGGUUCAUUUAAAACUUCCAAAAGGGAUUAUUAACGUCUCAUGACCCUGCAUAGACACACACAAAACUGUAAAAUGAAACAUUGUUAGGAAAUAGAGAGGAAGACACAGGUCACAUCUUUGUCUUAUGUAUCAAAGGACUCCUUCCAUACCUUAGAAAAGCUUGAUAGACAGUGGUGGCAUAUUUAAUAUUCUUAAAAAUGGGACAGUGUCAGUAUCUAUAUAAAAUGGCACACUAAAGGAAUUUACUUGUUUUCAGUCUUUAAAUUAUAAUUAUAACUGUAACCAAAGUUUUCCCACUAAUGCAAUAGCAUAUUCAGUGAACAACUAUCUUCCCCUUUGUAUAUGAUAGAUAAAGUCUUGCACAAUUGAUAUACAAUUACUUUAACUGGUUUCUGUUACUCAUCCACAUCUCUCACUUUGACCCAAUGUUUACCACUCCAAAACUGUCACUAUGCUGAAGAAUACAGAGAUUAUCUCUUCCUUCUCUAUCAUCCUGAAAGGUUAUUUUCAGGCCCAAGCCUUGGAAGUUACACAGAUUCUUUUUGCUUAAUAUUGUCUGCAAUUUAUCCAAAGGGUUUAUUUGUGUUAUUUGUCUCUGUGUCUUUGUGUAGUUUGUAGAUGUUGAAGCACACAUUUCUAUGAUUGAUGUAAAGGAGCAGAAAUUAUUAUGACAGUUGUGGGCCAACUCUGGGAGUCAUGGAACAAAUCUUUUCCAGGAAAAUUUCAUAAUUUCACAUGUCUGUGGUGGGAAUAAUCUGCAUUACAAAGAUCUGAGUAAAGCAACAGUUGGUUCUCCCCAUGACUCAUGAUCUUCCUAGGCAUAGACUCUGUACUAGGCAUAUUUACUGUACUAAAGAUGGUUUCCUUCUGUUUGGAAGGCCUACAAUUCAAUUAAGGGAGUUUCGCUUCUUGUGUGGCAAGUUGCUAUUGUAGAAUGCAGGGUCUGGUCCUGUGUAAGAUCAUUGUUGUCUUUUCUCCUUGUCUUAGUCACUGCUCUAUUGAAGAGACAAGUCAUUAUGACCAAAGCCAUUCUUAUAAAGGAAAACAUUUUAUUAGGGGGAAUUGCUUAAAUUUUCAAAGGUUGUUUAUUAUCAUAAUUGUGGAGAACAUGGAAAUACAGCAUGGUAGAAGCAGCCAAGAAGCACAUUCUCAUUUGGUGAUAAAGAGAGAACAGGCCUGGGCCUUGCACGGGUUUUUGAGACACACAUAGACAUGUGCAAAUAUAUCAGUAAGAAAUCAUUUUCUUACCUUGCUAUAUCCUAUUUCCCAUCUAUAUACCUAUAAGUUUAUUUAAUCUCUAUUUUUUAAUAGAAAGCUUAAAAGAAAUAUAUAAUAGAAUUAUGGAUAUAUAAAAUUGUAUAUUCAUGUUAUACAUAAUUUUCAAAUAUGUAUGAAAUUGUUGAUAUUACUCAUUUUUGUAUCAGUAUUUUGAAAUGAAUAUUUAUUUAAAUCUAAUCUUCUGUAUAUAUCCAAAGUAAUAGAACAAUUAGAAAUAUUAUUUCAAUGUUUAUUAUGUACAUAUAUAGUAUCAUAAAAUGUUCUAUAUUUUAAAAUGAAUUCUUGUAACAUAUUGUAACUACUUUCAAUGCAAUCCAAUGCCUCUCUAUCUACACACAUAUCCAUUUUCACAUGUAGGUCCAUUGAUCUACUUUUUAUUUUAUGAAAGUGUUCUCUUACUACCACUGGGUGUUUGAAUUUAGCAUAUUAUUUAAAUAGCAAGAAGAGGGGAUACAAAAGGACAGAAAAUUUCCCAGUGUAGGCCCAUAUUAGACUUAUGGGGAAUGGUUUGCUAACCACGAUCAGAGUCACGGGAGUGUGGGCAUGUUUGUUUUAUUAACCAAGAACUCUAUGAAUCGGUUGUAGUAACAGUUCAGCCCGUAUCAGUACAGCCACAGUUCAGAGACAACCCAGACUAGGGAAAAGAAACUAUAAAUUUUGUAUUGAAAAAAAUCCCAUCGUUGUAAUAAUAGUAUAUAUAUACAUAUAUAUACAUGUGUGUACACACAUAUAUACAUACAUACAUAUAAAUAUGUAUAUUCACAAAAAUUAAACAGAACUCCAUUUAAGUAACAGUUAAUAAAUUUUCCCAUUACCCAUGUACACGACUGCUUUAUGCAUGGAAACCAGGAACCGGACUCUGCUAUUUGGAACAUACCAGGUUUCAAUCUGUUGCCCUGUCCAAUUAACAACUUUUCAGAACACAAUAAUCUUCAGUCCUUCUAUCAGAAAGAAGAAUAGGUGGCAGUGUUGAUAGGCCUGACUCCUACUGGACAGAUGUCCAUAGGUAACGAAACUGCAGGCUGAUGCCUGUUGAUAGCAGACGAGAAAGAGUAAUGUCACUUGUUCAAGUAAGGGGCUAUAUUAUAGUAAUGUCCUUUGAUUUUUAAUGAUGUUUUAGCAAAACAUCCUUGAAAUUUUCUGUAAAUAUUCAAACUGUACUAUAGAAACUGUUUUGCUUUUAUUUCACAAAGUAAUUCUAAAUUUAAUCAGAAAUAUUAUAUAUUUUAAGGAAAAUAAAAGUUAGCGUGUUCUCCCAUCAUGUGAUUUUGUUGUUGUGAUUUAUUAGUGUCCAGAAGUUGAAUAUUUUUGAACUUACUAUAUUAUUUAGAAUACAUCUCCUAGAAAUAAAUUCAGUAUUCAUUUAAUUUUCUAUGCAAUAAAUUGUUAUUUCAUUUUUAUAAUAACCUAAAAUGAUAUUGUAUUGGCUAUCACACAGGAGCAGGAAGUGGAAACUGUUGGUAAAAAUCUGUAACUGUAAGUUAAUUUCCUAGCAUCCUCCAAGAAAAAAACAAAUGGAUCACUAGAGAAGACUUCCAGACAGUCUAGCUGAAACAUUAGACCAAGUUUCAGGAAGAGACACUGUCUUAAAAUAAAAUAAAGAGUGAUUGAGGAAGACAAACUAUGUGGACUUGUGACUUCCAAUUGCAUGAUCAUACAUGUACAGAUACCCACCUUGACACAUAUAAACACAUAUGCCACAUGUACACAAAAGGCUCUCAAACUAUAAAGGUAAAUAAGAAAGUAGAUUCAUUUCAAAUUCAAUGGCCAUACAUACAUAUCAAUAAUUAUUCUAUUAAUUAAAGAAACUAUUUAGCUGUAGUUAUGAAAUUUUAACAAUUAGCACAGUUCUGCUUUUACUUAAUUUAAAGAAACACUUGAUAUGGCUGUCUCUUGCGAGACUAUGCUGGGGCCUGGCAAACACAGAAGUGGAUGCUCACAAUCAGCUAUUGGAUGGAUCACAGGGCCCCCAAUGGAGGAGCUAGAGAAAGUACACAAGGAGCUGAAGGGAUCUGCAAUCCUAUAGGUGGAACAACAAUAUGAACCAACUAGUACCCUCCCCCCCCCCCGCCCCCCAGAGCUCGUGUCUCUAGCUGCAUAUGAAGCCGAGGAUGGCCUAGUCGGCCAUCAGUGGAAAGAGAGGCCCAUUGGUCGUGCAAACUCUAUAUGUCUUGGUACAGGAAAACGCCAGGGCCAAGAAGUGGAAGUAGGUGGGUAGGGGAGUAGGUGGGGGAGCUUGUGGGGGACUUUUGGGAUAGCAUUGGAAAUGUAAAUGAAAUAAAUACCCAAUUUAAAAAAAAAAGAAAGAAACACUUGCAUCUUAAGAUUGGAGUCCUACCUGUAGAAUAAUGUUUGUAUCUUUUCAGAGGAGACUAACAUCAAGGUUCUUCACAGGUUCAUUUCAAUUUACCAGGAAAGCAGAUAUAAGGAGGGGUUUUGAUAACCAAAAACCACCCUUUAUCUUCCCCAGUGGUCUACAACCAUGGUCAAGGGCAACUAGUUCCCACACAAUCUGAACACCAUUUAUUAGCUGAAGGACCCCACCCUGAUGAUGUGAAAUCUGCUUGCAAUACUUCCCUUUUGCCCUUCUCUCUGCUUUCACUGAGAGACGAAGAUUGAAGAUUGAACCUUAGUUAACCUUUAUUUUUCUAGCCAUGGAGUGGUUUCGUUUGGUGGUUUCACUGAGUCCUCAUUUAUAGACUUUGUAUUAGAAAGGAGAUUGAGUGUUGUCAUUGGUGUUUUGGGGCAUUUCUAGUAGAUACCUGGAAGACAGUAAUUCUGAGAACAAUGUGGACUAUAGAGACCAAGAUGAAGAGGUUUCAGAUGGGAAGGAUGUUGCCAGUUGGCCUAGAGACCAUUCUUGUAAUAUUUUGCCAAAUAAUGUGACUGCUUUCUUCUCUUGUCUGAAAAUUCUGCAUGAGACUAAUUUGAAAAUCUUUUUAAUUAAAGACAGCCUAGAGUUGACUGUGUCACAUGGCUAUUAGUUAUCACGUUGUUGCAGCUCUACAAUAAAAAAGAGCAAGCAGGGCUAAAGCAUUACAAAGUGUACAGUUUGAGGAGGAAAAAGAGAACUGGGAAAUGUUUAAUGUUGGAGCCAUGUCCUAUGCUCAAGAGAUGAGAAGUUUAAGCAAAGGCUUUAGAAGGAAUGGAAUGAAAGAAGAGGUGGCAUCAGGGCAAGAACCCAUUCAGCUAAGCUUCCAACAUGUGAAAAUUAAAGGUUAUUCAACAAAAGAAACUAUUAACAAUUCAAAGCUUAUAUGAAUGUAUGUCUUGAAAAGGACCAGUUUCCAGCCCUAGAAGUCAGCAGAAUUUGGCAGCUUUAGCCAAGUACUCCAGGCUUUGUUCAAAAGAUACAGGUGUAAAGGGGUUGGAAAAUCUUCCUUAAAGGUUAAGAAAAACUGCUGAGGCUACACAUAUGGCCGGUGACUUUCUGCAGGGAGGUCCUGAGAGGCUGUUGCCUGAAGCUGUGAAGGUAAAGCCUAUAUUGUGUUGGAGACCUGAAGAAGUUGAAGGGGCCAGAGCUGUGGAUUCCUGCCAAGAAGAGUUCCAGACAAGGUCUGGCACCAGGUCAAGAGAAAGCAUUGUGCUGCAUUCAACAAAGCUGGAAGGGGUGGGAGAUCUGAAGAGCCACAUAGCCCCAGACAUGGAUGUACAGGAUUAGGAAUUUGCCCUGCUGGAUUUCAGCGUUAAUUUGGUCUAGUAUUUUCUCACGGCUUGCCAUUUCCUCCCUUUUGGAAUUUUUAUGUAUAUUCUGCACAAUUUUAUGUUGGAAAUAUAUAAUUUUCUUUUUGCUUUUAUAUGGGGUUACAUUUAAGUGAUUUCCUUGGUUCUCAUAAAAGAUUUUGGACUUUAGACUUUUUCAUAGUCUUGUGAUUGUGAAUGAAUAUGUGGAUCUUUGAGGUUGUACUGUAUGCAUUUUGCAUUAUGAUAGGGCUGAAAAUCUAUGGGGCCCAGAAAGUGAAAUGUGGUAGUGUGAAAAUGGUCCCCAUUGGUUCAAAUAUUUAAAUAUUUGUUUGGUGUACUAUUUAGGAAGGCUUAAAAAGUACUACCUUGUAGGAGAAGGUGUGGCCCACAGAAUGGACUUUGUGGUUUCAAACAUCCAUCUUACCCACUGCGUGUAGGUAAGAUGUAAACUCUUAGUAACUGCUUCAACAACAUGCCUGGCUGCCUGCCACCACGAUUUCCACCAUGAUAGUCAUCGACGAAGCCUCUGAAACUGUAAGUAAGGCCCUAAUCGAAUGCUUUGCUUUAUAAGCUGGGUUGGUUAUGAUGUUUAUUUAUAGCCGUAAAACAGUAACUAAGAAGAAUUACUAUAAAAUGGUGCCUUUUUGAUAAAUAUUUUGAUGCAUUUUAAAUGGAAAGUAUUUCUGCUUUGUACUUGAAUUGACUGAAGAUGAGAAAGCAGGCUUUUCUAUUUUUGGCAAUUUUGGGGGGGUUGUUUGUUUGUUUUUGUUCAUUUUGUUUUUUUGAAAGAAAACUUUUACUUUUUAAAAUUGAAUACUUUAUUUAUUUACAUUUUAAAUGUUAUCCCCAUUCACAGUUUCCCCUCUAGAACCCCCUAUCCCACCCUCCCUCUUCCUGCUUCUUUGAUGGUGCUCCCCUAUCCACCCACCCACUCCCAUGUCCCUGCCAUGGCAUUUCCCUACACUGGGAAUUACAUUCCCCUAACCAUCACAGGACCAAGGGCCUUUUCUCCCAUUGAUGUACAACAAGGCUAACCUCUGCUGAAUAUUCGGCUGGAGCCAUGGGUACCUCCAUGUCCCUGGGAGCUCUGGGGAGUACGGGGAAGGUCUUGUUGGUUGAUAUUGUUGUUCUCCCUAUAAGUUGAAAACUUCUUCAGCUCCUUCAGUAUUUUAUCUAACUCCUACUCUGGGAAUCCUGUGCUCAGUCCAAUGUUUAGUUGUGAGCAUCCACCUCUGUAUUUGUCAGUCUCUGGAACAUCCUCUUAGAAGACAGCUAUAUCAGCCUCCUGUCAGCAAGUAUUUCUUGGCAUCUGCAAUAGUAUCUAGGUUUGGUGUUUCUAUAUGAGAUGGAUCCCCAGGUGGGGCAAUCUCUGGAUGGCCUUUCCUUUAGUCUUUGUGCCACACUUUGUCUCUGAAUUUCUUCCCAUGAGUAUUUUGCUCCCCCUUCUAAAAAGGACUGAAUCAUCCACACUUAGGUCUUCCUUUGUCUCGAGCAUCCUCUGGUCUGUGAAUUGUACCUUGGGUGUUCUGAUUUUUUUGGGCUAAUAUCCAUUUAUGAGUGAAUGCACACUGUGUGUGUGUGUUUUUUUUUUUUAAACCUCACCCAGGAUGAUAUUUUCUAAUUCCAUCCAUUUGCCUACAAAUUUCAUUGUUUUUAAUAGCUGAGUAUUAUUUUUAGAUAUCUUUCAAGAAUAUCAAGUGGUUCAUAAGCUAACCAGAACUUUAAUUUUCACAACCAAAUAUAUAAAUCUAAAAAUGAUUCUAUAUACUUAUGAUAUACUUAAAUCUAUAAAAGAUCCUCUCCUUCCCGAUGGUCACUAUUCUUCAAAGACAUUUAGCAGUCUCUGCUCCUUCAGUGAAUAUAAAAGUUUGGUAGGUGAUGACUUUUAUAGAUUUAAUCAUAUCAUAAGUUUAUAGAAUCAUUUUCAGAUUUGUAUGUUUGAGUGUGAAAAAUAAAAUUCCGAUUAACUUAUAAACCAUUUGAUAUUCUUGAAAGAUAACUAAAAAUACUUUGCUAAUAAUCAAAUUUCCAAAUGACCUUAUAAAUCCCACUUUUGGCAAACAACUUAUAUUUUUCAUGUUAAACAUGCAUUUGCUACAUGUUUACAUGUAAUAUACUACACAUACUAAACUGUAUGAAGCAAAAAUUGUAUUAAAUACAGAUUCCAUAUCGUGAAAGUAGACUUAUCUGAUUCUGAUGAUUAAUUAUCACUCAUGAUAUUCUACAGUGGAGUAGUAUAUUAAAUAUUUAUUCUUCUGUAAUAAAAUGCCAAAUGGUCAAAUCUCUUAGAUUUUUUCUUCUAAUAUUUUAGCCCAGGUAAGAAUAUAACCCAAAAUUUAAUUCUAUCAAAUGACCACAGUGAAGUUACUUUUAAUGGAAUGUUUUUGAGCCUCAACUAAAGAAAAAAGUAUGAAAUAAAU